UACGGGGGGGGCAAGCGUUGUUCGGAAUUACUGGGCGUAAAGGGCGCGUAGGCGGCCUAUUAAGUCGGACGUGAAAUCCCUCGGCUCAACCGGGGAACUGCGUCCGAUACUGGCAGGCUUGAAUCCGGGAGAGGGAUGUGGAAUUCCAGGUGUAGCGGUGAAAUGCGUAGAUAUUCGCAAGAACACCAGUGGCGAAGGCGGCUGACUGGUCCGGUUCUGACGCUGAGGCGCGAAAGCGUGGGGAGCAAACAGG
rnacentral:rRNA from 1 species